ACUGUUCUAACUCGUUUUUAAAGGUCUCGUUUGUGUUGUUUCAAGCAGAACAGUGCUGCACAACUGCGUGUCUGUCCUCAAUGAGUGUACACUGAAAUAACAACAGGUUUUUUCAAGAUAACCAAUAGCGUUGAUUACAUUAUCUAGAGACACAGCUGAUUUCCCUCCUAAAGUCGAGACAUGGAAAGGACCGAGAACAAAGUGUCCACCAUCUCCCUGCAAAAACAGACAGUAAAAAAUAGAUCCAAGUCCACAGAGGAGGUACAGCAAGCCAAAAAGGCCUUUCAUACACCACAAAAAUCUCUUCCGGCUAAACCAGAAACCGAACAACUAGAGGAAACCUCACUGAGUGCCUCAUCGGAGGAGUUCAAAUGAUUGCUGGAUUCAAACUUCGGGGCUUUGAGAUUUAGACAGAUCAACUGGAAUUAUGGGUAAUGACA